rnacentral:rRNA from 1 species
ACGGGUGAGUAACACGUGGGCAACCUGCCCUUGAGACUGGGAUAACUUCGGGAAACCGGAGCUAAUACCGGAUAAUAUAAGGAACCUCCUGGUUCCUUGUUGAAAGAUGGUUUCGGCUAUCACUUAAGGAUGGGCCCGCGGCGCAUUAGCUAGUUGGUGAGGUAACGGCUCACCAAGGCGACGAUGCGUAGCCGACCUGAGAGGGUGAUCGGCCACACUGGGACUGAGACACGGCCCAGACUCCUACGGGAGGCAGCAGUAGGGAAUCAUCCACAAUGGACGAAAGUCUGAUGGAGCAACGCCGCGUGAGUGAUGAAGGCCUUCGGGUCGUAAAGCUCUGUUGUUAGGGAAGAACAAGUGCGAGAGUAACUGCUCGCACCUUGACGGUACCUAACCAGAAAGCCACGGCUAACUACGUGCCAGCAGCCGCGGUAAUACGUAGGUGGCAAGCGUUAUCCGGAAUUAUUGGGCGUAAAGCGCGCGCAGGUGGUUUCUUAAGUCUGAUGUGAAAGCCCACGGCUCAACCGUGGAGGGUCAUUGGAAACUGGGGAACUUGAGUGCAGAAGAGGAAAGUGGAAUUCC